rnacentral:rRNA from 1 species
AUUGAACGCUGGCGGCAGGCUUAACACAUGCAAGUCGAGCGGAGAUGAGGUGCUUGCACCUUAUCUUAGCGGCGGACGGGUGAGUAAUGCUUAGGAAUCUGCCAUUUAGUGGGGGACAACAUUCCGAAAGGAAUGCUAAUACCGCAUACGUCCUACGGGAGAAAGCAGGGGAUCUUCGGACCUUGCGCUAAAUGAUGAGCCUAAGUCGGAUUAGCUAGUUGGUGGGGUAAAGGCCUACCAAGGCGACGAUCUGUAGCGGGUCUGAGAGGAGGAUCCGCCACUCUGGGACUGAGACACGGCCCAGACUCCUACGGGAGGCAGCAGUGGGGAAUAUUGGACAAUGGGCGGAAGCCUGAUCCAGCCAUGCCGCGUGUGUGAAGAAGGCCUUUUGGUUGUAAAGCACUUUGAGCGAGGAGGAGGCUACUAGUACUAAUACUACUGGAUAGUGGACGUUACUCGCAGAAUAAGCACCGGCUAACUCUGUGCCAGCCGCCGCCGUAAAAC